rnacentral:rRNA from 1 species
UACAGAGGUCCCAAGCGUUGUUCGGAUUCACUGGGCGUAAAGGGUGCGUAGGCGGUCGGGUAAGUCUGAUGUGAAAUCUCACAGCUUAACUGUGAAACUGCAUUGGAUACUAUUCGGCUUGAGAGUUGGAGGGGGGACUGGAAUUCUUGGUGUAGCAGUGAAAUGCGUAGAUAUCAAGAGGAACACCAGUGGCGAAGGCGAGUCCCCUGGACAACUUCUGACGCUGAGGCACGAAAGCGUGGGUAGCAAACAGG